CCUCCCUUCUCCCCCCCCCCCUCCACCGGCGGUCGCUCUGGCCGGUUCAGCGGUGGGGGUGGGGUGUGGAGCGGUGUUCUCCCACGCGUGUAUCAGCGCGGGACCCGCUCCCCUCAGCGCGGACCCCCACGCACCCCUCCCUCCGCGCCGUGUCCCGGGCGCUCGGCGGGGGAGGGACCCCUUAUAACGGGGGUCUGGGCCCCGAAGCGGGAAGCGCGGGGGGGGGGGUCCCAGAGGCCACUCGUGGCGGAUGGGGAGGCCUUCCGUGGGAGAUGCUGCUGCAGCGCGGCCUUAGGCCCGGCUCCGCUUAAAAACCUGCCCUGCUCGCCCCCUCCCCGGUUUCCCUCGGGUUUUCCCUCCCCGGGAGGAGUGGGAGCAGAGCACGGCAGCUCAUCCCUGCGUUUUAGGCGUCUCAGUACGGCUCUCGGCUCUCGGGUGGGUUUUUUUCCAGCUCCCUGCCCGCAGGGCUCAGGGAGGUUACGGGCAGGGAGAAACACAGGCCGGGCUCCACCGCCGAGCAGAAGUCGAGUUUUGGAGAGGAUCUUAACUUUGCCUUUUUUUUUUUUUUUUUUUCUUUGCGCCAUUCAGGAUGAAUUAUUUGCAGGCUGCCUUUAUGGGGGAUGUGCACCCUCUUUUUAAGCUGCCAGCGAAGGAAAUUUCACAACCCCUCAGAGCUCCCGGAAAGGUGCGGCUGCUUUUGUUGGUGGGCACGCAUGCAGGCGCACCUCAGGAUACACAGAAAAGGGAUUUUUCGCGGCUCUGGGGACUAAACUGGCCUUCUGGGGCUGGAAACAAUGGCCAGGUGUCAUCAGAAAGGUGGGGUUUCCUCUUUUCCAGUGGGUUGGUGCUCUGAUGUGAUGAGAGCUCUAACUUUCUAGGACAACAUAGGUGCUUAGCUUUCCUAAGCGUAACAGCGUACCCUGCUUUCCCCAGCGCUGGAAGGGGAUUGCAUCUUGUCUUGGCUCUGGGAGACAUGAAGAGCGGUUGGUCACUGCCCUUGUUAUAGCAACCUUUUAAUCUACUUGAAGACCGUUUGUCAUGGGCCUCUUGCCUCUCCUUGCCUGCCCCAGCCCAGAAGCGAGAUGCUGCGCUUCCCCACCAUGUCCUAUGCACAGUCCUCCCGGUGCUCACCCACCACAAAUUUGCCCUUGUCUCUUCUGCGGCCGUGCCGUGUUACUCUCCAUUGCAGUCACAGACCUUUGUAUUUGCCAGGUCCUUCCCUACAGCAUCCGCAUCGCUGCCGGGACGGUUUGGAUUUUUGUGGCGCAAGGGUCCCUGCAGUAACUCUUUCCUCCCCUUUUGAAGGCAGGUGCAUCGUUUGUCUUUCUUCUGUCGCCUGGGACCACUCUUUUUGCCUGGAUUUUGGAAGAAGACCAGACACUUGGGAAAGGAAAGAGUGGUUGGUGAUCCAAGUAAUCCAUGAGCUAGCCUAAUGGCCCCGCCAUUUCUGGCGGGAUUUGGCGAAGAAAAUAUAUAACAGCACUGGCCUUAGGGAUCGGUAACCCAGGUUGUGUUGCAUUAUCUGCCACGACACCGCUGGCAGAUUACAGACUUGGUGACAGGGAAGCUGCUGGCUGACUUUGUGGUCCUGCUCAGGAGGCGAGGCAGCUGGGUCCGACUCUGAGCUCACUGUCCUCUGCUCCUGUCGGGCGGUCGCUGACAUUCAGGUGCAUCUUAGCCUGAUGGCUCUUCGUCCUGCUUCUCCUGCCCCAUGGGAAAACCCUUUGCCCCCAGAGCUGGCUGCUCGUCUUCCCUGCCGCCACUCCCCAGCUCCUGCUCCAGCACGUUUCACGGAGCUGCUCGCUGCCCAGAGUUCUUGGCGGUCGUUAAGUAGCUAAUGACUGGGAGGUGUGAUAUGUUACUCGGUUUAUUACUCUGAUGACUCAAGUAGCUGGGUUUAGGCCAAACCACCUCCUCAUGUGAUCUGCGAGGAGGAGGAAGGAGAGGUUUCCUGCUCCCCACUGUACUGAAUGUGCUUUUCUGUGCUGUUUAGGGUGUUGGCUUUCCUAUGCCAUGUGUGACCAAGCCAGCACGACAAUAACGAAGGUGUUUUUGAAAGAAACUAAAGUUACUGAUGAUGCACAAUGCUGUUUUCCACACCUACUGCUUUGUCCCCGGGAUUUGGGAAGAAUGGUGGUUUAGCUCCAAAAUAUGAAUCAGUGUUUGCUUGGUGUCUCUUGGGGUGAUUCAAAAGUCCUGAUAGCCUGUCGUGGAAAAUAAAAUCCGUCUGAAAAUACACAAAAGAUGCAAUUAAUUUUAGGUCCACGUGACUUAGAGAAAAAAAGAGAAGUUUCUUUGGAAAGCAAUCUCAGCUAUCUUACGCAUGUCUGGCUGAUGUUUCCACUAGCUGGGAACAGUGAGCAAGGCGAGAGAAGGGGUCCAGGCCAGAGUCUGCAUAGACUGUGAGAAAUGUUUUUUCCUUAACUUUUUGACUUGUUGCCCUGGAGAUGCUGAUGUUUCAAACAUCCUGCUUAGUGGACAGACCGUUAAUCCUUUUCCAGUGCUGUGGAAAUCCCAGGCCCAGUGGAACUAUGUUACUUAUUAAAAAAUAUGCAUAGGACUAACGUUUUUCUAGCAUGUAGUAAAACCAGUGAUUUCCACAACCUUCCUUGGGAUAAUGAUCCUUCCACCUCCUUGGUCAGGCAGCUCCUCCCAACCAGUCAUCCCUAUGUCAGGAAAUCGCUUGUGCUGUGUUUGGUACUGCUGCCCUAACACUGCCAGGGUUUUCAGGAAAAUACAGUCCUGGGGGGGAUGGACAGUAGUCACUGAAAUAUCACAGUGGAUUAACAGGAAAAAACCUGUGGCGGUUUGCCUCUGCGCAGCAUGGAUGGCUGCGAGCGUGGUGGUUUCUAACUUCAUAGUGCACAUGCAUCCCAGCACCUUAUUUCUGCCACGAGCGAAGCCAUCGCCUGGGUUGGUGGCUGCUGGCUGCUUUCCCAUGGGACGCCUUGCACCCCUGGGAUGCCCCUUUGCCCUGCCACAUCCCCAGGAGCCCUUUCUAGAGUCCUCCAAAAACCAUGUCCCAGGCUCCCCGUCAUCGCCCUGCUGUGGGGCAUCCUCCC